UGUUGGAGUGCGUGUGAUAGGUAGCUGAAAAACAAAAAAACACACAAGAUCCAGAUUUGAAGUACUAGUUAAAGUUGCAAUUGAGAAGCUGUGUGCAAGCAUGUUGGAUGUGGUAUGUGUGUUUGAGAGAGAGAGAGAGUACGAAGGUAAGGAGUUAAGGGAUCAUCUCCUAAAGCAAUCAUAGGCAGCAACACAAGAAGCAGAGCCAGAAAAGGCAGCGCUCUAAAGAAGGCCAUCUCUUCCAGCAGAGAGAGAGAGAGAGAGAAUGCAAUUUGCAGUUAAGGUGAAGGAUUUUUUUUGGGUUUUCAAGUUGGUAACACAGAUGGUAUAUAUAAAGAUCAGAAUGACUUACCAAACUCAUCAGAAAAUAUUUAAGGACUUUCUGUGGAGUUAGGUUGAAAUUUUCUAUAUUUCGAUGACCACAACAAGAAGUUAAGCUUAUUUUCUAAUUUCUCCGUAGAAGCUUCAGUGCGGGCAUCCGCAAAAUUAUCAUUUCUGCAAAUCUUUUCUCAAUGCAGUCCUUUUCCUUCAGCCAUUUUUUUAUAGUGCCAGUUUGAAU
rnacentral:misc_RNA from 1 species